UGUCCUACGGGAGGCAGCAGUAGGGAAUUUUCGUCAAUGGGCGCAAGCCUGAUGGAGCAACGCCGCGUGGGUGAAGAAGGUCUUCGGAUCGUAAAACCCUGUUGUUAGAGAAGAAAGUGCGUGGGAGUAACUGUUCACGUUUCGACGGUGUCUAACCAGAAAGCCACGGCUAACUACGUGCCAGCAGCCGCGGUAAUACGUAGGUGGCAAGCGUUAUCCGGAUUUAUUGGGCGUAAAGGGAACGCAGGCGGUCUUUUAAGUCUGAUGUGAAAGCCUUCGGCUUAACCGGUGUAGUGCAUUGGAAA
rnacentral:rRNA from 1 species